UCUUAUAUUAUGUCUAUGUUGAAAACUACCAGCUAGGAUGGAUAUGACAACUAAGGCAGGAACAGUGAGUGUGCACCCAUGACGAAGCGCGCCAGUUUGUGCAGAAACCAAAAAGUUGUCAGUUGCCCCAAGUGCAGACUGUAUUACAACAGGACGACAACUGGAGAGCUGCUUUCAGUCAGAGUCAAGCGUAAAGCACUCACCUCCCUAAACCUUGGACAACAGCAAAAAGAUAGCCUUUCGUGAGAUAGUCUUCACCUAUUCCAGAGGUGGAAACUGGCAGGGAGAUUUUAAGUAAAUGGCAUCUGGCUAAAGGUCACAUUCAGGGGGCCCAGUGGGUGAAAGGUUGAAUAACUCCUAGGAAGGUACUGACCAACUCUUUAAGGGGGUUUGUGAACUUCUGCAAGCAACUUAUUCUUUAUUUUCUCCCAUCUAAUCUUUGAAAAUGUAAUUUUUUUUUUGUUUUUCAGUGCCUAGAAAAAAUAUUCACACUCUCUUCUCACCCUCAACUAUAAGCAAAAGAGGUUUUAUUUGGGUUUCAUGUUAUAGACCGACACAAAGUAGCACAACAUAGUUAAGUUGGAGGAUAAUUAUGCUUAGUUUUCAAAUUGAUGUAAAAAUAACAAUUUAUAGUAACAAAACAAUAUCGCUAUCUCAAUAUUUAGUCCAUCAUUAAAAAMUUAAAAGUGAACAGGAGAACUGCAAGUUUUCUAAGACGUUUCAGUGUGACUAGCCGCACUGAAAACCCUUGCAGGACAGUCAGAGAAGCAAUGAAGAGAUUCAUAGUAGCUAGGGAGAAACUGCAAACAUUUCAGGAGGGARAAUCUGUUAGUGACACAAAUGUUAGCCACACAUGAAGAAAGCCAUAAGAAAUUUGCUUUACAGUUCGUCACCAGUCAUGUUGGGAAAAGAAUGUGUUAAAAGGUAUUACUUUCAGACGAGAACACAUUCGWCUUUCUUCUUUUUAAUUUUUUGCCAACUUAUUUAAUACCACUUCAYGGAGAAAACUAAGGUUGCACACAGAGUGCUGGGUAGCUCAGUUGGUGGAACAAGCCCACCAUGUGCAGAGGCUGUGGUUAUCCUGGAUUCGGUUCCAGGUCUUGGGUCAAUAGCCAAAUGU